rnacentral:rRNA from 1 species
AGAGCGAACGCUGGCGGCAGGCCUAACACAUGCAAGUCGAGCGGCCGUAGCAAUACGGCAGCGGCAGACGGGAGAGUAACACGUGGGAACGCGCCCUUCGGUUCGGAAUAACUCAGGGAAACUUGAGCUAAUACCGGAUACGCCCUUACGGGGAAAGAUUUAUUGCCGAAGGAACGGCCCGCGUCCGAUUAGCUUGUUGGUGAGGUAAUGGCUCACCAAGGCGACGAUCGGUAGCUGGUCUGAGAGGAUGACCAGCCUCACUGGGACUGAGACACGGCCCAGACUCCUACGGGAGGCAGCAGUGGGGAAUAUUGGACAAUGGGCGCAAGCCUGAUCCAGCCAUGCCGCGUGGAUGAUGAAGGCCUUAGGGUUGUAAAGUCCUUUUAACGGGAAGAUAAUGACGGUACCCGUAGAAUAAGCCCCGGCUAACUUCGUGCCAGCAGCCGC